UACGUAGGGGGCGAGCGUUAUCCGGAUUUAUUGGGCGUAAAGGGAGCGCAGGCGGUGACUUAAGUCUGAUGUGAAAGCCCACGGCUCAACCGCGGAAGGUCAUUGGAAACUGGGUCACUUGAAUAUAGAAGAGGAAAGUGGAAUUCCAUGUGUAGCGGUGAAAUGCGUAGAUAUAUGGAGGAACACCAGUGGCGAAGGCGACUUUCUGGUCUAUUAUUGACGCUGAGGCUCGAAAGCAUGGGUAGCAAACAGGAUUAGAUACCCUGGUA
rnacentral:rRNA from 1 species